rnacentral:rRNA from 1 species
UUGUACACACCGCCCGUCGCUACUACCGAUUGAAUGUUUUAGUGAGGUCUUCGGACUGGCCUAGGGAGAGUGGCAACACUCACCCAGGGCCGGAAAGUUGUCCAAACUUGGUCAUUUAGAGG